rnacentral:rRNA from 1 species
UACGUAGGGGGCGAGCGUUGUCCGGAUUUACUGGGCGUAAAGCGCGCGUAGGCGGAGCGUUAAGUCCGGUCUGAAAGCCCCCGGCUCAACCGGGGAAGGUGGCUGGAAACUGGCGCACUGGAGGGCGGCAGAGGCGUGUGGAAUUCCUGGUGUAGCGGUGAAAUGCGUAGAGAUCAGGAGGAACACCGGUGGCGAAGGCGCUCUGCUAGGCCGUAACUGACACUGAGGGACGAAAGCUAGGGGAGCGAAUGGG